GACGAACGCUGGCGGCGUGCUUAACACAUGCAAGUCGAACGGCAAGGCCCUGCUUUUGUGGGGUUCUCGAGUGGCGAACGGGUGCGUAACACGUGAGUAACCUGCCCUUGACUUUGGUAUAACUUCAGGAAACUGGGGCUAAUACCAGAUAGCAGCUCCUGCUGCAUGGUGGGGGUUGGAACGUUUCGGCGGUUGGGGAUGGACUCGCGGCUUAUCAGCUUGUUGGUUGGGUAGUGGCUUACCAAGGCUGUGACGGGUAGCCGGCCUGGGAGGGUGACCGGGCACAUGGGGACUGAGAUACGGACCAGAGUCGUACGGGAGGCAGCAGGGGGGAAUAUGGCACAAUGGGCGGAAGUCUGAGGCAGAAACGUCGGGGGCGGGAUGACGGCCUUCGGGGUGUAAAACGCUUCCGGCUGUGACGAAGCGGGAGUGACGGUAAUGGGUAAAGAAGCACCGGCUAACUACGUG
rnacentral:rRNA from 1 species